rnacentral:lncRNA from 1 species
GGGGACGCCCCUCCCCCUUCGGCUUCCGGCUGAGAGAAGUGGCUCUGGGCUCUGCUGAUUUUGUUGCGCUCCGAGGAGGGACGUGACCUUCAGGGUGACCUGUGAGAUCGAACUCGGGUCCUUGCACUUGCAAGGCAGGCGGCAGAACCACUGAGCUAAAUCCCUGGCCCAGAGAAUGCCCUGUUGAUGGUCUUGGGUUUGAUGAUGUGUGAUGAUACUCAUGCUCGUUAUGAGGGAUACAAGGUGAAAAGCCCUGUAUGGAGUCAGGUCCAACUGAAGAGAACUGUCAACCGGAUUCUAAUCCCAACAUCAUCAUGACCACCUUGCUGGUGACCGUGGGUCUCACUACGUAGUUCAGGCUUGAUUUGAACUCACUACAUAGGCCAGGUUGGCCUCAAACUCACAGCGAUCCUCCUGCCUCUGCCUCCCAAGAGAUGGGAUUUCAGAUGCAGAGAUCCGGGUCAGGAUGGCCCACAGGGCAAGAAAAGCAUUUGGUUUGCAAACCCCAGCAAAAGGAAAACCUUCUUCCCGGCUCAGGGGCUUUUCUAGAAAGGCCAAACCAGACGCGUGGAAAGCAGAGGGACUGCUGACCCUUCCGCCACUCACUACCUGUGUGGUUUCUGGGGGUCACCGGUGGAUACUGGGAGGAAAAAGUCAACCUGUGACCCAGUCACCUAGCAGUGUAGUCCAACAGGUCACAGGCCCUCGUCCCUCUGUGAGAGAGACCACAAAAGAUGGACAAAGAAACCGAACAGACAGAGACCGUUCAAGGAACAAAAGAAGUCUAAUAAUUUUUCGCAGAGACUUACUCAGGUGUCUGCUAAAAUGUCUCUUCAUCCAAGUCCUUUCCUGCCCCCCCCAAUCGUGUCUUUUAUUACUCAG